GUCUCUUCUUGCCUUGUAUAAUAAAGUUUAUCAAAUCCCAAGUCGGUAAAAUCUCUAAUCAAACUUUCAAUCAGCUUUUACUCAGGAACUACCAGCUUUUAGCCACAGAAGAUCCCUCACCCUCAUGUAACCUCCUCACCACACGCUGAGAUGGACCCCUCUCUCCGCUGGAAACUGUUCCUGGAAACAAUGGCCGCAGACACCUGGCUUCUGGCACCCAUAUCCUCUUGGCACCAUUGGAAUCAACAACAGGAAGCAGUCAGAGAGAAAGCAACGUCCACAACCUCAUAGAGGAGAAAGGGGGGAAUGAAGGGCCCCCACCCAUAAGAUGGCAAACUUCCUGCUUCUCUUCCGGGUCCUCGGUUCCUGCCAGCGCCACCUGAAGCCCAAUCACCCCUCACCCCCCUCCCAAUCCCAGCACCUAGCCAAUAGCCACCAGCCCCGUAGAAGUGACACCUCAAUCAGCUCAUGCCCCUUCCUAUAUAACCCAGCACCUUUCCCUAAUAAAGCGGAAUUCUCUGGUGAAUUGCU